CCUCCCAAAGUGCUGGGACUACAGGAGUGAACCACCGCGCCUGGCCCCCCGGGAAACUUCUUUAACUAAGUUGUUCCCAAAUGAUUUAUAAUUACCCUUUAAUACUUGGACCUGGAGCAUACAAGCAAGUUGGAUUCACAGAUCAAUGCUUAGGGAACUAUCAAGUGAUAAAGAACAAAGCAAAUUCAGAAUUUUCCAUAAUCCUUUCUUUGACUAAUAAAUGGAGUCAUAGCUAGUCAUCUAAAAUUCCUCAUAUGAGACUAUUUUUUUCUGGUUAAACAAUGAAAUGCAAGUAUCAUGGGUCAUUAACGGCCUGCUAAAUGUUCCAUCCUCUAGAAACAGGGAAAUUCAUGCUAAAGUAGAUCCCAUUUGUGAGAUAUAUCCUCCUAUGUAAUAAGAGAUGCUUUGACUUGACCACCUCAGUCAAAGGUCAGUUUCUUGCUUUCUUUAUUGUUUAUUAUAUCUCUUUCUCCCUUUCUCUCUCCCUUCUUUGUCCUGUUCAUUACAUAAUUCAGGUUAAAGGUGACUCAUGUUGAUAAAAAAAAAUAAAGAAAAAUCAGUCAAUGGCUCUUGGAAAGAUCUUAAUAGUAACAUUUAACUUGAGAACUACCUGAUGAUUAGAUAAGUGGACAUUUUAAAGUAAUACUUAAAUUUAUUACUUUCAUAUAUCUGAAUGUGGCCUUUGGGGAAAAUUCAAAUGACAAGUCCCAAGACAAACAAUUUUCUUUUCAGCCUUUGUACUUAAGCUGCUCAGGAAUGCAGGCUUAUAGCACAGAGAAACCACAUUUGGAUAAUUGUCUCUGUUUUCCUGUCCAAUUUACCAUAUUGAACUUCAUUCUUACAGGAAGGGGUUAGAAGGCAUCCAUCCUGUGGACAGGGAGCACACACCACCUCCUCUGCAUGACAGCACUGGGGAAACAAUGAGACCUCAGAGGGAAGGUGCCUGGUGGACAUGAAGUAGAGAACCUGUGGAACUGAGGCUUCCAAAAUCAGCUGGCAUUUCCAUUAACAAAAGCAGCAGUCAGCAGUCCUCGAGGAGCUGAGCAAGUUCUGCCAAUGGACAGCUCAUCAUGAAUUGCUCCAGGUGGAUCCUCCAGGAAGUAUUGCAGAAGAAGGCAUUGUUAUCAUAGGAGAUGACAGCUCCAUGGGUGUUACUGCCCCUGAAGACCUUCCAGGGGAAGAAGAUGUGGAGGUGGGAGACAGUGAUAUUGAUGAUCGUCACCCUGUGGAAGCCUAGGCUAAUGUGUGUG